rnacentral:rRNA from 1 species
GAGUUUGAUCCUGGCUCAGGAUGAACGCUGGCGGCGUGCUUAACACAUGCAAGUCGAACGGGGAUUAUUUCAUUGAAGCUUCGGCAGAUUUGGCUUAAUCCUAGUGGCGGACGGGUGAGUAACGCGUGGGUAACCUGCCUUGUACAGGGGGAUAACAGUUAGAAAUGACUGCUAAUACCGCAUAAGCGCACAGGACCGCAUGGUCCGGUGUGAAAAACUCCGGUGGUAUAAGAUGGACCCGCGUUGGAUUAGCUUGUUGGCAGGGUAACGGCCUACCAAGGCGACGAUCCAUAGCCGGCCUGAGAGGGUGAACGGCCACAUUGGGACUGAGACACGGCCCAGACUCCUACGGGAGGCAGCAGUGGGGAAUAUUGCACAAUGGGGGAAACCCUGAUGCAGCGACGCCGCGUGAAGGAAGAAGUAUCUCGGUAUGUAAACUUCUAUCAGCAGGGAAGAAAAUGACGGUACCUGACUAAGAAGCUCCGGCUAAAUACGUGCCAGCAGCCGCGGUAAUAC